rnacentral:rRNA from 1 species
UACGGAGGGGGCUAGCGUUGUUCGGAAUUACUGGGCGUAAAGCGCGCGUAGGCGGAUCUGCAAGUCGGAGGUGAAAUCCCGAGGCUCAACCUCGGAACUGCCUUCGAUACUGCGGGUCUCGAGUCCGGGAGAGGUGAGUGGAAUUCCUAGUGUAGAGGUGAAAUUCGUAGAUAUUAGGAAGAACACCAGUGGCGAAGGCGGCUCACUGGAACGGUACUGACGCUGAGACGCGAAAGCGUGGGGAGCGAACAGG